rnacentral:rRNA from 1 species
UCCAAUCGAACCCGGAGAUAGCUGGUUCUCCUCGAAAUAGCUUUAGGGCUAGCCUUCAGUUAGUCUGCCGCAGGUAGAGCACUGAAUUUCCUAGGGGGCGUCAAAGCCUACCGAAGAAUAUCAAACUGCGAAUGGCGGACAGAUGAUGCUGGGGAGUCAGACUGCACGAGAUAAGUUGGGUGGUCAAAAGGGAAAGAGCCCAGACCUACAGCUAAGGUCCCAAAGUGCGUGUUAAGUGGAAAAGGAUGUGGGAUUUCGAAGACAACUAGGAUGUUGGCUCAGAAGCAGCCAUUCAUUCAAAGAGUGCGUAAUAGCUCACUAGUCGAGAGGUCCUGCGCCGAAAAUGUCCGGGGCUGAAACACAACACCGAAGCUGCGGAAUUGCGAAUGCAAUUGGUAGAGGAGCAUUCUUAAUACCGACGAAGCUGUACCGGAAGGAGCAGUGGAGGGAUAAGAAGAGAGAAUGCCGGAAUGAGUAGCGAGAGAGAGGUGGGAAUCCUCUCGGCCGAAUAUCCAAGGUUUCCAGAGUAAAGCUGAUCUGCUCUGGGUAAGUCGGGGCCUAAGGCGAGGUCAAAAGACGUAGCCGAUGGACAACAGGUUUAGAUUCCUGUACCGCAUAUAAACAGAACUGUGGGGACGCAUGGGGAGAGCAUGGGCCGGGAAUGGAAAUACCGGUGCAAGCGAAGGAGGUGUGCAGCCGGCAAAUCCGCUGCAUGAGCCGAAAGCGUGACGCGGAGCGAAAUGAAAGUAGCGAAGCAUGUGAGCCCUGUGCCGAGAAAAGCCGCUAUUGCUUUAUAUGUGCCCGUACCGUAAACCGACACAGGUGGAUGAGGAGAGAAUCCUAAGGCCGGCGGAAGAAGUAUUGUUAAGGAACUCGGCAAAAUGACCCCGUAACUUCGGGAGAAGGGGUGCCCACGGGAGUGGGCCGCAGAGAAUAGGCUCAAGCAACUGUUUAGCAAAAACACAGGUCUAUGCGAAACCGAAAGGUGAAGUAUAUGGGCUGACGCCUGCCCGGUGCUGGAAGGUUAAGAGGAGAGGUUAGCGCAAGCGAAGCUUUGAAUUUAAGCCCCAGUAAACGGCGGCCGUAACUAUAACGGUCCUAAGGUAGCGAAAUUCCUUGUCGGGUAAGUUCCGACCCGCACGAAAGGCGUAAUGAUUUGAGCACUGUCUCGACAAUGCAUCCGGUGAAAUUGAAGUACCAGUGAAGAUGCUGGUUACCCGCGCCAGGACGGAAAGACCCCAUGGAGCUUUACUCCAGUCUGGUACUGGGAUUCGGUACUGCACGUACAGGAUAGGUGGGAGACUUUGAAACUUGAACGCCAGUUUGAGUGGAGUCGCUGUUGGGAUACCACCCCUGCAGUAUUGGGUUUCUAACCAGUCACCGUGAUCCGGUGAUGGGACAAUGCCAGGCGGGGAGUUUGACUGGGGCGGUCGCCUCCGAAAGGGUAUCGGAGGCGCUCAAAGGU